rnacentral:rRNA from 1 species
UACGAAGGUCCCGAGCGUUGUUCGGAUUUACUGGGCGUAAAGCGUCUGUAGGCGGCGCGGUAAGUCAGAUGUGAAAUCCCGGGGCUCAACCCCGGAACUGCAUCCGAUACUGCCGUGCUAGAGGGUCGGAGGGGAGUCUGGAAUUCUCGGUGUAGCAGUGAAAUGCGUAGAUAUCGAGAGGAACACUAGAGGCGAAGGCGAGACUCUGGACGACACCUGACGCUGAGAGACGAAGGCCAGGGGAG